rnacentral:tRNA from 1 species
UUCGCGCUCGGUGAGGCGCUCCAGCUCCUUGUGCCGGGGCUCCCGGCCGGUGCUCGGCAGCAUCGGCGCGAACC